rnacentral:tRNA from 2 species
UCGAAUCCCGGGCAACCCAUUGGUAUAGCCAAAUU